rnacentral:lncRNA from 1 species
AUGUUAAAUGAGUGUUUGGUUGCACCUGCUCGGAGCCCGUUCUCAUUCUGGAAACCGCCCGCACCUGGGUGGGUGAGGCAAGGUCACUUUCUGCUUGGGCAACGCCAGGCCCGGCGAGCCGCAGGGCCGGGGGCGGGUCCUAGGAGGAUAAUGUGCUCCGAGGGGGUAACCAAGCUGAAGGAACUGGACCUGGGUGCCGUUUUAAGUUGCGGAGCCGGACGGGCCCUGGGGUCUGCUUGUGGGCACUGCUGUCUGAGUUGUGCGGAGCUGGAGACAGAAAAGGGACCGGCUUUGCCCGGCAGCCCCGCCACGGCCGGUACCUCUGGAAGCCAAAUAAGUUCGUUUGGAAGCGGCGGUUCCCGAGGAGCCAGCGGAGGCUGGGCUUCGUGCAUCGCCGGGCAGCCGGCUCCCUGCAGCCCCGCCGGCGGCUGCGCGGCUCCGAGGCAACGCCGCUGCCGAGCGGGGAGAGCUGCGCCCUGCCCGGGGUCAGGGGGGCGGCUCGCCCAGCUCUGGCAGCGGCAGUGCCGCCCCCGGCAGCGAGAGCCCUGCCCGCAUCCUUCCUGCGAGCUGGAGAUCGGCGAGUGCUGGAGAGCCCCGGCUGGAGCAGUGCGAAGGGCUGCAACAGGGGCAGAGGAGGAUUGUGAGACACUCCUUUCUACAGCUGUACAGCAAGGAAAUGUUUUUGCAAGCUUGAAGCAAAGGGACUGUUAAAUGGUAGGAAGCAUCAAGCACUUCUGGGCAGGCAAG